rnacentral:rRNA from 1 species
CCUACGGGCGGCUGCAGUGAGGAAUAUUGGUCAAUGGGCGCAAGUCUGAACCAGCCAUGCCGCGUGAAGGAAGAAGGCUCUCUGUAUUGUAAACUGCUUUUGUAGGGGAGUAAAUCCCGAUACGUGUCUCGGGAUGAGCGUAUCCUACGAAUAAGCAUCGGCUAACUCCGUGCCAGCAGCCGCGGUAAUACGGAGGAUUCAAGCGUUAUCCGGAUUUAUUGGGUUUAAAGGGUGCGUAGGCGGGUAGAUAAGUUAGCGGGGAAAGCGCGGGGCUCAACCCCGGCCCGGCCUUUGAGACUGUCGGGCUAGAGUGGAGUUGAGGUAGGCGGAAUGCAUGGUGUAGCGGUGAAAUGCAUAGAGAUCACACAGAACACCGAUUGCGAAGGCAGCUUACCAAACUACGACUGACGUUGAGGCACGAAAGCGUGGGGAGCAAACAGGAUUAGAUACCCGAGUAGUC